rnacentral:rRNA from 1 species
AUUGAACGCUGGCGGCAGGCCUAACACAUGCAAGUCGAGCGAGCGGCGGACGGGUGAGUAAUGUAUGGGGACUGCCCGAUAGAGGGGGAUAACUACUGGAAACGGUAGCUAAUACCGCAUACUAUCGGAUAACCCAUAUUGGAUUAGCUAGUAGGUGAGGUAAUGGCUCACCUAGGCGACGAUCCCUAGCUGGGCUGAGAGGAUGAUCAGCCACACGGGGACUGAGACACGGUCCAGACUCCGACGGAGGCAGCAGGGGGGAAUAUUGCACAAUGGGCGCAAGCCUGAUGAAGCCAUGCCGCGUGUAUGAAGAAGGCCCGAGGGUUGUAAAGUACUGGCAGUCGGGAGGCGUUACCGACAGAAGAAGCACCGGCUAACGCCGUGCCAGCCGCCGCGGUAAUUC